rnacentral:pre_miRNA from 1 species
UUGAUUUGUCUUAAGUCAAACUUGACAAACUUUUUCCAAGUUUAUAAAAAAUAUAACAACAACUAUACUACCAAACAUAUGGACAAUCAAAACAUAUUUUAUGGUGGAUUCAAUGAAAAAAUUUUGUGUUGUAGAUGUUGUUAUAUUUUUUUACAACCUUGGUCAAAGUUGAAUAAGUUUGACUUAGGACAAACCAAA